GCCAGCAGCCAUAUCGCCUGCAACUCACAACUGGCAGCCCACUGAAGCUAAGCAGGUGUGAGCCUGGUCAGUACCUGGAUGGGAGACCUCCUGGGAAAAACUAAGGUUGCUGCUGGAA
rnacentral:rRNA from 1 species